rnacentral:rRNA from 1 species
AACGAACGCUGGCGGCAUGCCUAACACAUGCAAGUCGAACGAGACCUUCGGGUCUAGUUGCGCACGGGUGCGUAACGCGUGGGAACCUGCCUUUAGGUUCGGCAUCACUCAUCGAAAGGGGUGCUAAUAACGGUUAAUAUCAUCGUACACAAGUUGUAUUGCUCAUGGAUGGGCCCGUGUUGGAUUAGCUAGUUGGUAGGGUAAAAGCCUAGCAAGGCGUGGAUUCGUAGCUGGUCGGAGAGGAUGAUAAGCCACACUGGGAUUGAGACACGGCCCAGACUCCUACGGAGGGCUGGAGUGGGUAAUAUAGGAGAAUGAACGAAAGCCUGAUCCCGCAAUGCCGGGGAAGUGAUGCAGGCCUUAGGGAUGCAAAGCUCUUUUACACGAGAUGAUAAUGACAGUACCGGGAGAAUAAGCUCCGGCUAACUCCGUG